AGUGGGAUAGCUGGGUCAAAUGGUGGAUCCAUUCCCAGGACUCUCCAUACUGCUUUCCAUAUUGGCUGCACCAAUUUGAAGUCCCACCAGCAAU
rnacentral:pre_miRNA from 1 species